CACACACACACACACACACAGAGAGAGAGAGAGUGGGAGAGAGAGAGAAAGAGAGAGGUUUACUUGCUGUAUUUACGUAGCUGCUCGAUGUGGGUCAUCUCAUAAAUUAGAGGCUGCAGUCCGCUGAGUACACUGAGUUUUUAUGAAGCUUGCAGCGAAAGCACACACACACACACAGAUACACAAAGAUUAGCCAGCAGACACAAUGAGUGCAAUUCCACGUUCCAUGUUACAUUGCUCACAUUUACAAUUCAAGUAGCUGCCAUCACUUAAGGUUAGCCACUCGAUUGGCAUAAUAAAACGAUAUAAAUAUAUAUGUAUACAUAUAU